AAAGCUACUAAGGGCAUACGGUGGAUACCUUGGCAGUAGGAGGCGAUGAAAGACGUGGUUAAACUGCGAUAAGCUUCGGUGAGUUGUUAAACAUACUUUGACCCGGAGAUUUCUGAAUGGGGCGACCCUUUUGUAUGAGAAUGCAAAAACUCGCUGGUGAGUAAAGUAGCCAGUGUAGAGCUAACCGGGGGAACUGAAACAUCUAAGUACCCCGAGGAAGAGAAAUCAAUUGAGAUUCUGUCAGUAGCGGCGAGCGAACACAGAUUAGACCAAACCAGUAUGCGUGCAUACUGGGGUUGUAGGACCUGCAUCAAGCGGAGUUUGCUAAGAGAAGUGUCUGGGAAGUCACGCCAUAGAGAGUGAAAGCCUCGUAUCUGAAAGCGAACAAAGUGGGCGGGUAUCCUGAGUAGGACGGGACACGUGAAACCCUGUCUGAAUCUGGGAGGACCACCUUCCAAGUCUAAAUACUACCUACUGACCGAUAGUGUACCAGUACCGUGAGGGAAAGGUGAAAAGAACCCCGAUGAGGGGAGUGAAAUAGAUUCUUGAAACCGUAUGCUUACAAACAGUCAGAGGGCUAUUGUAAAGCCUGAUGGCGUACCUUUUGCAUUAUGAGCCGCCGAGUUACGGUGUGUAGCAAGAUUAAGCCGUUGAAGGUGUAGUCGUAGGGAAACCGAGUCUUAAUAGGGCGUUAGUUGCAUGCUGUAGACCCGAAACGGGAUGAGCUUACCAUGGGCAGGUUGAAGCGAGGGUAAAACUUCGUGGAGGACCGAACACAUAUAGGUUGAAAACUGUUGUGAUGACUUGUGGUAAGGGGUGAAAGGCCAAUCAAAUUCCGUGAUAGCUGGUUCUCCUCGAAAUGCAUUUAGGUGCAGCGUCUUUUGAUUACUACUGGGGGUAUAGCACUGAAUUGGCUAGGGGGUUUACCGAUCUACCAAACCAUAUCAAACUCAGAAUACCAGUAAGUACAGAAAGGCAGUGAGACUAUGGAUGCUAAGGUCCAUAGUCGAAAGGGAAAGAGCCCAGAUCGACAUCUAAGGUCCCCAAAUAAUAACUAAGUGGAAAAGGUUGUGGAACUACCUUGACAUCCAGGAGGUUGGCUUAGAAGCAGCCAUCCUUUAAAGAAAGCGUAAUAGCUCACUGGACUAGUGGUUCUGCGCCGAAAAUGUAACGGGGCUAAGUUAUUUACCGAAGAUUCGAACUAUAGCAAUAUAGUGGUAGAGGAGCAUUGUGUUUACCGAUGAAGGCAUACCGUAAGGAGUGUUGGAGGUCCCACAAGAGCUGAUGGUGGCAUAAGUAGCGAUAAGGAGGGCGAGAACCCCUCCCGCCGAAAAUCCAAGGGUUCCUAGGCCAGGUAACUCCGCCUAGGGUAAGCCGGUACCUAAGCCGAGGCUGAAAAGCGUAGGCGAUGGACAACGGGUUAAUAUUCCCGUGCUUGGUGUAUAACGUUUGACCGAAGGGGUGACGGAGAAAGGUAGCUGAUCAGGGCGUUUGGUUGUCCCUGUUUAAGCAAGUAGGCUGUGUUGUAGGCAAAUCCGCAACACGUGAAGGCUGAGAUGUGAUGACGAGUCGUAAGAUGAAGUCAGUGAUCCUAUGCUUCCAAGAAAAACCUCGUAGGGAGUUGUAUAUCAAUCCGUACCCCAAACCGACACAGGUGGAUGGGAUGAGAAUUCUAAGGCGAUUGGACGAACUCUUGUUAAGGAACUCUGCAAAAUGGUGCCGUAACUUCGGGAGAAGGCACGCCAAUGCUGGUGUAGUCACUUGCUGACGAAGCUGGUAUUGGCCGCAGUGAAAAGGGGGUAGCGACUGUUUAUCAAAAACAUAGGUCUAUGCAAACACGUAAGUGGAAGUAUAUGGACUGACGCCUGCCCGGUGCUCGAAGGUUAAGAGGUGAGGUUAGAUCAUUCGUGAUCGAAGCUUUGAAUCGAAGCCCGAGUAAACGGCGGCCGUAACUAUAACGGUCCUAAGGUAGCGAAAUUCCUAGUCGGGUAAGUUCCGACCUGCACGAAUGGCGUAACGACUUCCCCACUGUCUCAACAAGAGGUCCAGCGAAAUUGGUGAGCGCGUGAAGAAACGCGCUACCCGCGGAAGGACGAAAAGACCCCGUGAACCUUUACUGUAACUUGGCAUUGGGUUUCGAUUAACGAUGCGUAGGAUAGGUGGGAGAUGUUGAUCUGUGCGUUCCGGCGUACAGGGAGUCAUCCUUGAAAUACCACCCUUCGUUAAUUGGAAUCCUAACCUACGGUCGUAAUCCGGCCGGGGGACAAUGUCUGGUGGGCAGUUUGACUGGGGCGGUCGCCUCCUAAAGAGUAACGGAGGCGCGCUAAGGUUCCCUCAGGCUGAAUGGAAACCAGCCGUAGAGUGUAAACGUAUAAGGGAGCUUGACUGCGAGACAUACACGUCGAGCAGGUGCGAAAGCAGGCGUUAGUGAUCCGGUGGUUCCGAGUGGAAGGGCCAUCGCUCAACGGAUAAAAGGUACUCCGGGGAUAACAGGCUGAUCUCCUCCAAGAGCUCACAUCGACGAGGAGGUUUGGCACCUCGAUGUCGGCUCAUCGCAUCCUGGGGCUGGAGCAGGUCCCAAGGGUUUGACUGUUCGUCAAUUAAAGCGGUACGCGAGCUGGGUUCAGAACGUCGUGAGACAGUUCGGUCUCUAUCCUCCGUGGGCGUAAGAUAUUUGAGAAGAGCUGACCUUAGUACGAGAGGACCGGGUUGGACGAACCUAUGGUGUACCAGUUGUCACGCCAGUGGCACCGCUGGGUAGCUAAGUUCGGAAAGGAUAACCACUGAAAGCAUCUAAGUGGGAAGCCCCCUUCAAGAUAAGAUAUCUAUUAAGUGUGGUUGUAGACUACGACCUUGAUAGGCAGGAUGUGUAAGCACUGUAAAGUGUUAAGCUGACCUGUACUAAAUACACGUUUUGCUUU
rnacentral:rRNA from 1 species